UACGUAGGUGGCAAGCGUUGUCCGGAAUUAUUGGGCGUAAAGAGCGCGCAGGCGGUCGUGCAAGUCGCGUGUGAAAGCCCCCGGCUCAACUGGGGAGGGUCACGCGAUACUGAUCGACUCGAAGGCAGGAGAGGGUAGUGGAAUUCCCGGUGUAGUGGUGAAAUGCGUAGAUAUCGGGAGGAACACCAGUGGCGAAGGCGACUACCUGGCCUGUUCUUGACGCUGAGGCGCGAAAGCUAGGGGAGCAAACGGG
rnacentral:rRNA from 1 species